rnacentral:misc_RNA from 1 species
GAUGAAGAACGCAGCGAAAUGCGAUAAGUAGUGUGAAUUGCAGAAUUCAGUGAAUCAUCGAAUCUUUGAACGCACAUUGCGCCCCUUGGUAUUCCAUGGGGCAUGCCUGUUCGAGCGUCAUUUGUACCUUCAAGCUUUGCUUGGUGUUGGGUGUUUGUCCAUUCUCUUGCAGAGGGACUCGCCUUAAAGUAAUCGGCAGCCAGUGUUUUGGUUUUGAAGCGCAGCACAAGUCGCGAUUCAAAGCUAUACGCCCGCUUCCACAAGCCUUUUUCACUUUUGACCUCGGAUCAGGUAGGGAUACCCGCUGAACUUAAGCAUAUCAAUAAGCGGAGGA